rnacentral:rRNA from 1 species
UACGUAGGGGGCAAGCGUUGUCCGGAAUCAUUGGGCGUAAAGAGCGUGUAGGCGGCCCGGUAAGUCUGUUGUGAAAGUCCAGGGCUCAACCCUGGAAAGCCGAUGGAUACUGCCGGGCUAGAGUUCGGAAGAGGCGGGUGGAAUUCCUGGUGUAGCGGUGGAAUGCGCAGAUAUCAGGAGGAACACCUAUAGCGAAGGCAGCUCGCUGGGACGACACUGACGCUGAGACGCGAAAGCGUGGGGAGCGAACAGG